rnacentral:rRNA from 1 species
UACGUAGGGGGCUAGCGUUGUCCGGAAUCAUUGGGCGUAAAGAGCGUGUAGGCGGCCCGGUAAGUCCGCUGUGAAAGCCGGGGGCUCAACCCUCGAAUGCCGGUGGAUACUGUCGGGCUAGAGUGCGGAAGAGGCGAGUGGAAUUCCUGGUGUAGCGGUGAAAUGCGCAGAUAUCAGGAGGAACACCAAUUGCGAAGGCAGCUCGCUGGGACGUAACUGACGCUGAGGCGCGAAAGCGUGGGGAGCAAACAGG